AUUGAACGCUGGCGGCAGGCCUAACACAUGCAAGUCGAACGAGUGGCGGACGGGUGAGUAAUGUCUGGGAAACUGCCUGAGGGAGGGGGAUAACUACUGGGAACGGUAGCUAAUACCGCCAACCACCAGAUGUGCCCGGAUGGGAUUCGGUUGUUGGGGGGGUAACUGCUCACCAAGGCGACGACCCCUAGCGGGGCUGAGAGGAUGACCAGCCACACUGGAACUGAGACACGGUCCAGACUCCUACGUGAGGCAGCAGUGGGGAAUAUUGCACAAUGGGCGCAAGCCUGAUGCAGCCAUGCCGCGUGUAUGAAGAAGGCCUUCGGUUUGUAAAGUACUUUCAGCGGUGAGGCGUUACCCGCAGAAGAAGCACCGGCUAACUCCGUGCCAGCAGCCGCGGUAAUAC
rnacentral:rRNA from 1 species